rnacentral:lncRNA from 1 species
GCUAGAUGUAGCCUGUUUUAACCGUGAUGGCACUCAGUGGGGCCUAGCUGGGCGUUAAAAACGGGCAGACCGCAGGGGGCUCUGGUCGGCCCUGUGCCACCCGUCGGAAGUCGAACUGGGUGACGCCUCGGGGUUGAAAUGCGUGAAAUGGACUUUAGUUUCCUUUUCUCUGGGCCUCUGAGACGUGGUCUGCCCCAUCUUCCACACGUUCCUGUCACUGCGCCACCACAGGACCACAGGACCUUGGCACAGAGCCAGCCUGCCAUGGAUGAAAACCUCUGAAGCCAUGAGCCUAGCAUUAACAGGUGCACAUGGAAGUUUCUAGAAGCUUCUUAUCUGCACUGGAGAAUAAUCAGGACUGAGUAGCCUGGUGCCUUGCUGGACCCGAUUGCCAAAGUCCCUGCAGCUCUCUGAAGGUGGGGGAUUGGAGUGGGCAUCUGCUCUGUGCAGGUUCAAAGGUAAAUCGAUGAAGGACGAAGCUGUCUGCCUAGGGAGUCUGUGCCCACCCCCGUCCUCCUUGAAGCUGCAGAAAGGGAAUGUCUGACAGCUUGGUGGGGCCCUGGCCUGGCCUUGGAGGAGACUUGGUCUGGAACAUUACAGGACUGA